CGAUGAGCCUGGCAGUAACAACGAACAGUGAGAAGUCAGCAGACGCCAUAGUAGCCAGCAGGGUAAAAAAUCGGCAGUUGGUGAAGGGC
rnacentral:ncRNA from 1 species